CGGGACGGGUGAGUAAUGUCUGGGAAACUGCCCGAUGGAGGGGGAUAACUACUGGAAACGGUAGCUAAUACCGCAUAACGUCGCAAGACCAAAGAGGGGGACCUUAGGGCCUCUUGCCAUCGGAUGUGCCCAGAUGGGAUUAGCUAGUAGGUGGGGUAACGGCUCACCUAGGCGACGAUCCCUAGCUGGUCUGAGAGGAUGACCAGCCACACUGGAGCUGAGACACGGUCCAG
rnacentral:rRNA from 1 species